rnacentral:snoRNA from 1 species
ACGUCUCACUAUACUAUUAUAGUGGCUUGCUCUUUUCUCAGUGAUUCCCCCACCAGUAGUCUGAGGAUCGUUUUAGCUUUUAAACUUACAUUUAAAAGUCAGAGUUGGUGGCCUUGCCUUUGUGUUUGCGGCUGCCCCCAGGUCCUGGCAGCAGCCUAGGGGGAGGCCUACAGGGGGUCCUGGAAUAGGGCAGGCAUAAGCCACCUGGGCGCAACCUUAGGCCUGACG